rnacentral:sRNA from 1 species
ACAAGCAACAAGCCGCCGCCGCCGCUGCACAUUAUUAAGUCAAAUAGCAAAACUUUAGUUAAACGAAGGAUAUCGUGGCGAGAGGUUGUUGACGAAAGAUCAAAACGGUUAAAUUUUUGAAAGCAAACAAAUAAAAACGGAAAAAGAAAUUGUAAAGCAAAAAAUCGACAGCAGAGUGUUGUGGCUACUAGUUGCGUUGUCGUUCGUGCAUUGCAUUGUGUACGUGUGUGUGUGUAAAUAUAUGGCCAAAGUGCAUAGUUGCAUUUUGAGCCAGGCAAUUUUGUUAGAAAACGAAAAUAUUAAACUACAAAUGUGAAUAAAAGUUAUUUAAAGAUUAUUAAUUAAAUGAAUAAUAGAAUUAAAAAAUACUGAAAAAUUCAAAAUAAAGAAAUUAGUUUUGGUGGCGUUGUAUCCACAACUCUAAAUAGAAAGGGGAAACCUACUGGAAAAGAAAUCUUUAAUGGAUAUUUAAAUUGUUGCUGCUAAUAAACUUAAAUAUUUAUAAAGAAAACUAAUCUCUGCGGAUUUUUUUUCAUUUUGGAUAAAAUCACUUUUACUUUCUAACAAUUUUUGUGUGCAAAGUGAAUAUAAAACGAAAAGUUUUUGUUUGAAAAUAGAUUACAAAAAAACACCGAAAAGUUAUAAUUAAAAUUUUGGAAAAUCAAAACGAAGUGAAAGAAAACCAAUUUCUUUUCGAAGGUGCAUAACGAAUUACACAAAAAAUAUAUAUGAAAUAUUAUGAAUGAUUAUUAAAUCAAUGGUUCUGUGAAAUAUUCGAGGAUUUCUCAAUCAAAAACCCAGCAACAAAUGGAUUAAAAAACGAACUGUUUUUGGAAGAAAAACUGGAGUAAUUUGAAGUCAAGUGUUUCUUUCGACGAAUUUUCAUGGCAUCUGUCAGAAUCUAAACGAAUUUUAUUGCAUCAAAUCUUCAUGUAGAGCUUUACGGCA